rnacentral:misc_RNA from 1 species
UCCGGUUUGGCACCGGCAGUCCUCCCAGAGUCCUCAGCUUGACCUGGUAGCAACUGGGAGCGGGGGUUGCGCUCGUUGCGGGACUUAACCCAACAUCUCACGACACGAGCUGACGACAGCCAUGCAGCACCUUGCUUCAGGUCUGGCUUUUACACCAGGAGAGUAGGUUUUGCCCACUCGUCCUUCGCAUUCUAGCCCAGGUAAGGUUCUUCGCGUUGCGUCGAAUUAAACCACAUGCUCCACCGCUUGUGCGGGUCCCCGUCAAUUCCUUUGAGUUUUAAUCUUGCGACCGUACUCCCCAGGCGGGAUGCUUAAAGCGUUAGCUGCGCCACUGACGGGUAAACCCGCCAACGGCUAGCAUCCAUCGUUUACGGCGUGGACUAC